rnacentral:lncRNA from 1 species
CUGAUUUUCAAAAGAAAUGAAAACAUGUUUAUGUAUUCCUAAACAUAUCCUGGGUCUCGGGCAUGAUACCUCCUGUGUGAGCCCUGCUCUCCACACGGUGGCAGGGUUCUGUCUCUUUAUGAUGUGUGCAAGAUGACACUAGAUGCUAUGAGGACCAUCUGUUUUUUAAGCAGGUAACCACACUGAACAUGUUAAACAAUAUGUAUCAUGUGCUGAGUGUUUACUGUGUGCCAAGUGCUUCAAACUCAUCAUUUAAGUUAAAGAACAGCCCUGUCAGAUAGGAACUACUCUCUGCCCUCCAUGGCCAGCAUAUACAAAGAGGUAUAUUUUUCCAAAUGCUUCCAUACAUUGUUUCUAAAUGUAUAUUACAGUCCAUAGUAUGAGGGACACCAGGGGACCCUCCAGUGGGCGCUACAAGAUCUUAGGGAAGAGGGAAGCUGAGGGUGGGCUUUGGAGAAGAGUCAUUACAGAGAUGAAGUGGCAGGUGGCAUGGAAAGGUAUUUGGGAAGUGCGGAGGUGACAAUAAGAACGGCACAUUGGAGCGUCAUGAGGAGACUUCCCAAGAUGGAAGGGACUUGAGGUCUGGAACCGAGGGUGACCGGCAGGGUGGGUUUUGGAGAGUGAGAAACGUGGGCCCAAUCUAAUGUUCAGUGGAAGGUUCUUUGUCUCCCUAAGCCCUAAAAUCCAGCGGUAAAUCAUCAAUAACAUAGCAAAGUUUUAGCCACCUUCCCUGUCUCAGUUCCUUCUUUGUUAAAUGAGAGUCACGGUGCUUGCCCUGCAAUCUCAGAGACUCAGUUCAAAUGAUUGUCAGCCCCACAGGUGGGGGAGCCGGUGUCUGAUUCCGGCUGUAUUGUCAGGGCCUCAGUGCUCAGUACAGGUUUGGUGGAGGAAUGGACGCCAUAGCCUACAAUCCCAAAAGCUGCAGCCGCAGGAGGCAGCGUGGCUGGAGAAGGGUCCCGAGCCAGAAGAGGGCGCUCUUCAGCAAAACAAGGUUUGAAGGAAACCGCCAGGAUGUUCCUUAUAUUCUUCUCCAGGAGCAUUUUUUUUUCUACUCUGAUAAUGACAACUCAAGUAAUUACCUUAAUUUGGUCUUCAAGCCUUCUGUGAUCUCUGGGGUAGCCUGCCUGGAAGAGUAGUUGGAGGCUACUACCAUUGCCUCAAGGUAAUCUUCCAAGGGACAGGGGAGUCUUAGAUCAGGCUUCCCGGGAGCAAAGCCAGAGAUAGGGAUCCUUGUGCCAGUAGUUGAUAAGGAAGCUCUCUCUGGAGAAGGUGGUCUGGAGGAAGUGGGUAAAACGAGAUAGGAUAGGGGAAGAAGUAAAGUAAGGAUGAGGCUCAGCUGCAGAAUAAUCUCAGCCUGGCUCCACCUGGGAGCCCUAGGGGUGUGGAAGGCACUAUGGAUUGGGGCUUCCUUGAGGCAAGAGGGCCAGCCUUUGUACCUUGUUUUAGGAUAUGGUAAAGGGGGUCUUGGUGGGACACCAGCAGCAUCCCUGACAGGGGAUUGGCCUGAACUCCCCUCCCAGGUGAGUAACAGGGGCAAGGGAGAGAAGCAAGAACAUGGCUGGGAAAGUGGUGACAUUAAGGACUGGAAAGGCAAGGUGCGAUAUAGUCUGGAGGUGUCUGAAAGUGAGAGAAAGACCCAUGAAAGCCAAGUGCAAACUGAGAAUAAAUUUGCCACACUGAUGGUAUCAGUGUGGUAUCAGUGUGGCUGAUGGUAUCAGCCUAGGACCAGGCUAGGCCACACUGCAGUAACAAAUGAGCCACCAAGUCCAUUUCUUGCUCACACUAUCUAUAUGUCCAUUGCAGACCAGCAGGGGCCUUUAUGCAGUAUUGGCAAUCAGGGAUCUAGGCUGAUGGAAGCUCUCACUUGACAUGAGCUUCCGCUAUUGCAGAGGUGGGGAAGAGGACACUGGCUCUGGAAGCACGCAUUUUUUUUUUUUUUUUGAAAUGACAUGGGUGUCACUGCUGUUCAGAUUUCAUUGGCCAAUUCCAAGGCCAGGAAGCCAUAGGGAGCCACGGUGUGUUCUUGAGCAUGUGUGGGAUUUGGAGCAGUGUGUAGGAAGAGUCAGAUGACCAUGGCAUGUGCUGGGAGGAGCUGCUGGCAAGGAGAAUAGCUGGGACCGGUCUGUGCAGUAAUACACUUGAAGCAUCUUUCCCCUCUGAGACCUUUGGGCAACUCUGGUAAGAAGGCUACUUAUCAGGGUCUAGUUUUUGCAGCCAUCAGCCUCGUUCUGCAGGAAGAGGAACCAGUUCUAUGUCCUCAGGAGGGAAGCCUCACCAAGCCAGGACCAGGAGUUGGAAGAGUGGGGAGGGCUGCAUUGCUGAAGGCCCUCCCUCAGUGAACACCUCAUAAAAAGUUCUGCAGCUGAUCUAGGCAGGCUGCAGAGGGCUGAAUACUGCCAGAAUUGUGCACACUGAGCUGGCUCCACAGGCAGGGUUACCUGAUCUCUAAGUCAUGCUGGACUUUGAAGCCUCAGGCUUUUAUUGGAGGUGCUAUGACCACCUGGUCAGCUACAGGCUGAAGAUUCCUGGCAUCAGAAAAAGCCAGUCUCCAGUCAAUGCUCCUUCCUCAGUGUGGAGGUUUGAUUGUCCAUCAAAACCUCAAGGGCAGUGGUUCUUUAACUUCAGCAUGCAAAAGACUGCCUGGAGUGCUUUCUAAAAGUGCAGACUUCUGGGACCCAUCA